rnacentral:rRNA from 1 species
GGAAUAUUGCACAAUGGGGGCAACCCUGAUGCAGCAACGCCGCGUGGAGGAUGAAGGCCCUUGGGUCGUAAACUCCUUUUCUGUGGGAAGAGGAAGGACGGUACCACAGGAAUAAGUCACGGCUAACUACGUGCCAGCAGCCGCGGUAAUACGUAGGUGGCGAGCGUUAUCCGGAAUUACUGGGCGUAAAGAGCACGCAGGCGGCCAGAAAAGUCUGACGUGAAAGCUCCUGGCUUAACUGGGAGAGGUCGUUGGAAACUGUUUGGCUUGAGGCAAUGAGAGGGGUGCGGAAUUCCCGGUGUAGUGGUGGAAUGCGUAGAUAUCGGGGGGAACACCAGUGGCGAAAGCGGCACCCUGGCAUUGGCCUGACGCUCAGGUGCGAAAGCGUGGGGAGCGAAC